GAGCAGCCUGUCAAACACGGAGACUGUUCUCUCUCACCCCAGGCGUGCCAUGAUGAGGAAUAAACAAAUCCACUGCCAGACUGGGAAGUAAGGUGAAGCCCUGACAUACAAACCCUGGAAUAAAAUUGAACAGGACAUUGUUUUUAAUAAAGCAAACUUUCAAUGCUAGUAACAAAAAAAAAGUGAACUUUUCAUUUUAAAAUUUGUUCAAGCGAGAUGAAACUCAGUAAAUGAUACAACAUUUCUGGAUUGCAGUGGAAGUGAAGGAAAAAACUAGCAGAAUCCUGGCAACUCAACUCUGUGAGGCAGCAAUGAUGGAAAAUUGA
rnacentral:lncRNA from 1 species